rnacentral:ncRNA from 1 species
GCCCUCUGGAGAAUCCCUUAAGUGGGUGCCGAAGGUGAAAGCAGGACAUAGUUCCCGCGAAUCUCUCAGGCAAAAGGACAGUGUG